GCAAGCAGCAGAUUUUAUUUGAAUUUUCUCCCGGAGGAGCUGGAUCCUCUCGCUGCACUGCACACGUUAGAGAAGAAGAAAUAGAGGUAUCAGCACAACAUUUGUAAAGAUGUCCUGGCUCUCAACAAAGGCACCAGGCAGGAUUGUUUUUUCUCUUGCAUUCCCAUAAGCCUGACUUCCUGAUGUCCACUACACUCUGUUCUCAAUCUUCUCCAGUCUUUUGCAAACUGUGAUGUUCAGAUGUCCUAUAAGCCUGACUUCCUGAUGUCCACUACACUCCGUUCUCAACCUUCUCCGGUAUUCUGCAAACUGUGAAUGCCUCCUUGUGUUGGAUUCAUGAUGUUCACCAUACUGCACGGCCUACUUUUUUCUUCGCAAGCUAUGGAAAGAAACUCUGUUCAGCUCAUGAAACGGACUGUUCACAUUUUUUGACAUUUGUGGAGGAAGCAGGGUAUCCUGGUAAUUUUAUUUUGCAGCUACUAUGCUCUCGUCAUAGAUACCUUGCAUCCUACCCAGUGAGUACAUUAUACGAUUUUGAUUUCCAGUA